rnacentral:tRNA from 1 species
CCGCCUUCAUGGACGGGUCGGCCGAGAUCAUCGGCUUUUCGUCGUCGGCGACGGCCGACAGGACGGCGGCGAUCAGUUCGGCGUCCGGCGGAAGCGGG